AAGUCCCAUAACGAGCGCAACCCUACCUUUAGUUGCCAUCAGGUAAUGCUGGGGACUCUAAAGGAACUGCCUACGCAAGUAGUGAGGAAGCGGGGAUGACGUCAAAUCAGCAGGCCCUUACGUCCAGGGCUGCACACGUGCUACAAUGGCCGAUACAGAGGGCAGCUACCUGGUGACAGGAUGCAAAUCUCCAAAGUCGGUCUCAGUUCGGAUCGGAGUCUGCAACCCGACUCCGUGAAGUUGGAUUCGCUAGUAAUCGCGCAUCAGCCAUGGCGCGGUGAAUACGUUCCCGGGCCUU
rnacentral:rRNA from 1 species